CGAGGCGGACAAUGAGAGCUGAUCACAGAUCUCUGAGCGGAUGGGCAAUCUUUAUCACACGUAUAGCUCUUGCUUCAUCAGCUCAUCAUGUCAUAACUCCACCAUCACUCACCAUCCUGCCUGGACAAAUGGCAUACUUCAACUGCACUGUAGUGGAAAACAGCAAUUGUGAAGAAGUCAGCUUGUAUUGGCGUCAUAAGCGCCUGUUCCAGAAUGGCUCAGAAGGAGAUUCGAAAGAUAUUAAAAAUGGAGGGAGAUAUUCCAUUAUUUAUGGAGUUUUAUUCAGCUUUUUGCAAAUUAAAAAUGUGGUCUUCUCUGAUGAGGGGUUUUAUUUUUGCUCAAAUUUCUGCUUUGGAAAAAGGACCCGGAUUAUUGAACAGAAGUCACAGCUCUUGCUUGAAGCCCAGCCCCAGGUAAGCAUCACUUCUUCCAUAUCACUUGAUGCACCUGAUCUCCUGAUCCUGACCUGCAGCGCUGUGAGUUUCUACCCUUCUAAUGUGUUCUUCACCUGGAAUCUCACCUUUGUUGAAGUGCCCCACAUCAUCCAGCAGGGGUCACCCAAUCUCCUCCAGAAUGGCAGCUACAGCAGCAGCUCCACUCUAAAGAUCAGAACCUCCCAGUGGAGCUCAGAAGUGGUGAUUGAAUGUGUGGUGAAUCACAGUUCUCUGACUCAGUCACAGAUCAAAUACAUCAGACAUUCAGGUCCAUCUUCAGGUGUGGGUCUCUGUCAGCUGAAAAUGGUUCUGCUGUCUUUGGGUUUGGUGUUGAUGAUGUUGACUGUCAUGGGGGUACAUGUGAAGUCCUGCAAAGGAAACAGUUGAGUAUCCAGUCCAGGUCUGGAACUUAUAUCGGAAGAGGAAAGUGAGAUACCUCCAGUGGUCUAAAGGUGAAAGACAUUUUGAGGAAAGACUGAAGAAAAUCUGAGGACUGGAGUAAAAUGCAUUGGGAUACAAACAAUUAUAAUUUUGUGUAUUUUUUUAACCUAUAAACUGUGUACUUUUACAGAACACUUCCCUCUGUGCUUGCAAAAUGCUUAUUAUUUGUGCUAUGCAAGGUUUCUACAUAAAUAUUAU